AACAGGUCACAUUCUGAACAUUCUGGCAGGGGAGUGAGCUUCUCCGUCAGUUGUCUUCUGAGCUCCACAACUUCUCCUCCAAGCUGGCUCUCUGAUGCAUGUCUCAAGUCAACCUCCUUCUUCAGUUGGAUGUCUUUGUCUCUGAGUUGCUUCUCCAAGUCUCUGAUCUUCUUCUGAUAAUUGGCUUCCGCUCUCUGCAACCUCAAGCAUUCCCAGUGUUCUGCAUUCAACAAGGUCUCCAUCUCCUCAUAGGACCUCUUCUUACCCUUCAGUCUAG
rnacentral:lncRNA from 1 species